rnacentral:rRNA from 1 species
CCAAUAGCGUAUAUUAAAGUUGUUGCAGUUAAAAAGCUCGUAGUUGAAUUUCGGGGUCAGUAGGUUGGUCGUGCCACCGGUACGUACUGGUCUCACUGAUUCCUCCUUCCUGAUGAGCUGUAAUGCCAUUAAUUUGGUGUUGCAGGGAAUCUGGACUGUUACUUUGAAAAAAUUAGAGUGUUUAAAGCAAGCUAACGCUUGAAUACAUUAGCAUGGAAUAAUGAAAUAGGACGUUCGAUCCUAUUUUGUUGGUUUCUAGGAUUGACGUAAUGAUUAAUAGGGAUAGUUGGGGGCAUUAGUAUUCAAUUGUCAGAGGUGAAAUUCUUGGAUUUAUUGAAGACUAACUACUGCGAAAGCAUUUGCCAAGGAUGUUUUCAUUAAUCAAGAACGAAAGUUAGGGGAUCGAAGACGAUCAGAUACCGUCGUAGUCUUAACCAUAAACUAUGCCGACUAGGGAUCGGAUGAUGUUAAUUUUUUAAUGACUCAUUCGGCGCCUUACG